UUGAACGCUGGCGGCAGGCCUAACACAUGCAAGUCGAGCGGUAACAUUUCUAGCUUGCUAGAAGAUGACGAGCGGCGGACGGGUGAGUAAUGCCUGGGAAUAUGCCGAGAUGAGGGGGAUAACAGUUGGAAACGACUGCUAAUACCGCAUAGUACCUACGGGUCAAAGCAGGGGAUUUUUCGAAACCUUGCGCAUCUUGAUUAGCCCAGGUGGGAUUAGCCAGUAGGUGAGGUAAAGGCUCACCUAGGCGACGAUCCCUAGCUGUUCUGAGAGGAUGAUCAGCCACACUGGGACUGAGACACGGCCCAGACUCCUACGGGAGGCAGCAGUGGGGAAUAUUGGACAAUGGGCGCAAGCCUGAUCCAGCCAUGCCGCGUGUGUGAAGAAGGCCUUCGGGUUGUAAAGCACUUUCAGUCAGGAGGAAAGGAUGCUGGUUAAUACCCAGUGUCUGUGACGUUACUGACAGAAGAAGGACCGGCUAACUCCGUG
rnacentral:rRNA from 1 species